AUGGGAAAGUCCGGUGUAAUUCCGGCGCUGUGCCGCAACUGUCAAAGCCAGAACGCCAU
rnacentral:ncRNA from 17 species